GUUUCCCUACUGCGUGCGCGACGAGGCCUUUAUUUUUCUGCACCAAUGCGCCUUGCGCUAGGGUAGGCAACAAGCGGCAUCGGCGUGAUCGUGGCUGAUUGUGAAAGUAGUAAUGCAAGCUGCCCAUGAACCCAAGAUGUUGUGAGCCCUCCCGCCCUGAAUCCCAGGUUCAGGAAAUCAGGCCAUGGCGGCGUAAGUGGGGAAUUA
rnacentral:other from 1 species